GAUUACGAGAUAGCUAAACAUGCAAGUCGAGCGGAUGAGGGAGCUUGCUCCUGGAUUCAGCGGCGGACGGGUGAGUAAUGCCUAGGAAUCUGCCUGGUAGUGGGGGAUAACGUCCGGAAACGGGCGCUAAUACCGCAUACGUCCUGAGGGAGAAAGUGGGGGAUCUUCGGACCUCACGCUAUCAGAUGAGCCUAGGUCGGAUUAGCUAGUUGGUGGGGUAAAGGCCUACCAAGGCGACGAUCCGUAACUGGUCUGAGAGGAUGAUCAGUCACACUGGAACUGAGACACGGUCCAGACUCCUACGGGAGGCAGCAGUGGGGAAUAUUGGACAAUGGGCGAAAGCCUGAUCCAGCCAUGCCGCGUGUGUGAAGAAGGUCUUCGGAUUGUAAAGCACUUUAAGUUGGGAGGAAGGGCAGUAAGUUAAUACCUUGCUGUUUUGACGUUACCAACAGAAUAAGCACCGGCUAACUUCGUGCCAGCAGCCGCGGUAAUACGAAGGGUGCAAGCGUUAAUCGGAAUUACUGGGCGUAAAGCGCGCGUAGGUGGUUCAGCAAGUUGGAUGUGAAAUCCCCGGGGCUCAACCUGGGGAACUGCAUCCAAAACUACUGAGCUAGAGUACGGUAGAGGGGUGGUGGAAUUUCCUGUGUAGCGGUGAAAUGCGUAGAUUUUGGAAUGAACAUCAGUGGCGGAUGCGACCACCUUGAACUGAUACUUGACACUGAUGUGCGAAAGCGUGGGGGAGCAAACAGGAUUAGAUACA
rnacentral:rRNA from 1 species